AGGCGCAGCCGCUACUAACGGUUCGUUUGUUCAACGAUUAAAACCCUACGUGAUCUGAGUUCAGACCGGAGUAAUCCAGGUCAGUUUCUAUCUAUAAAGGACUUUUUCUAGUACGAAAGGACCGAAAAAGCAUGGCCAAUGCCCAAGUAUGCCAUAUGUACAACUUAUGAUAAUAUCUUAAUAAAAACACAUCCUACCACAAACCCCAAAAAAAGGGGAGUUAAC
rnacentral:rRNA from 1 species